rnacentral:rRNA from 1 species
CGGACGGGUGAGUAACGCGUGGAAAACCUGCCGUAUACUGGGGGAUAACACUUAGAAAUAGGUGCUAAUACCGCAUAAGCGCACAGCUUCGCAUGAAGUGGUGUGAAAAACUCCGGUGGUAUACGAUGGUUCCGCGUCUGAUUAGCUUGUUGGUGGGGUAAUGGCUCACCAAGGCGACGAUCAGUAGCCAGCCUGAGAGGGUGAACGGCCACAUUGGGACUGAGACACGGCCCAAACUCCUACGGGAGGCAGCAG